rnacentral:rRNA from 1 species
CCUACGGGUGGCAGCAGUCGGGAAUAUUGCGCAAUGGAGGAAACUCUGACGCAGUGACGCCGCGUGCAGGAAGAAGGUUUUCGGAUUGUAAACCACUGUCCCCAGGGACGAAAAUGACGGUACCUGGGGAGGAAGCUCCGGCUAACUACGUGCCAGCAGCCGCGGUAAUACGUAGGGAGCGAGCGUUGUCCGGAAUUACUGGGUGUAAAGGGAGCGUAGGCGGGGAUGCAAGUUGGGUGUCAAAACUACCGGCUCAACUGGUAGUCGCACUCAAAACUGCAGCUCUUGAGUGAAGUAGAGGCAGGCGGAAUUCCUAGUGUAGCGGUGAAAUGCGUAGAUAUUAGGAGGAACACCAGUGGCGAAGGCGGCCUGCUGGGCUUUUACUGACGCUGAGGCUCGAAAGUGUGGGGAGCAAACAGGAUUAGAUACCCUAGUAGUC